GCCAGCGUAAAGCUAAUCCGGUAAGCUGCUAGGCUGAUCCCCUAGUGCCCUCACGGGUUUCCGGGUUCAAAAGCUUUUCGGUUGGCCACCGAGAAGAUUGAUCCCGGCCUUGGCA
rnacentral:tRNA from 1 species